UACGUAGGGUGCAAGCGUUGUCCGGAAUUAUUGGGCGUAAAGAGCUCGUAGGCGGUCUGUCGCGUCUGCUGUGAAAACUCAGGGCUUAACCCUGAGCUUGCAGUGGGUACGGGCAGACUAGAGUGCGGUAGGGGAGACUGGAAUUCCUGGUGUAGCGGUGAAAUGCGCAGAUAUCAGGAGGAACACCGGUGGCGAAGGCGGUGUUCUGGGCCGGAACUGACGCUGAGGAGCGAAAGCGUGGGUAGCAAACAGG
rnacentral:rRNA from 1 species